GAUGAACGCUAGCGGCAGGCUUAAUACAUGCAAGUCAAGGGGGUAGCAAUACAACCGGCGCACGGGUGAGUAACGCGUACACAACAUACCAUAUACUGGAGUAUAGCUUUGGGAAACUGAAGGUAAUCCUCCAUAACAUUGCGAGAGGGCAUCUGAUUGCAAUUAAAGUUUCGGCGGUAUAUGAUUGGUGUGCGUUUGAUUAGCUAGUUGGUAGGGUAACGGCCUACCAAGGCGACGAUCAAUAGCUGGCGUGAGAGCGCGACCAGCCACACUGGAACUGAGACACGGUCCAGACUCCUACGGGAGGCAGCAGUAGGGAAUAUUGGACAAUGGAGGAAACUCUGAUCCAGCCAUGCCGCGUGAUAGAUGAAGGCCCUCUGGGUUGUAAAUAUCUUUUUAUCUGGGGAAGAAACACUCCUAUUCUUAGGAACUUGACGGUACCAGAGGAAUAAGCACCGGNUAACUCCGUGCCAGCAGCCGCGG
rnacentral:rRNA from 1 species